AGAAAGAAAGAGAAAGAAAGAAAGAAAGAAAAAGAAAGAAAAAGAAAGAAAGAAAGAAAGAAGAAAGAAAGAAAGGAGGGAGGGAGGGAGGGAGAGAGGAAGGGAGGAAGGAAGGAAGGAAGGAAAAGAAAGAGAAAGAGAAAAGAAAACAGAAAUAAGCUAAAUAUGAGAUUUGAUGCUAAGCAAAUAUAGUUGUGUUGGGAGAAAAGUUCCCCCAACUUGCCUGGUGCAAUGGUAUUACCUCCCUUGUGAAGUUCCUGGCACUAUAGUAGGUACCCAGCCAAAAUAAGACCCCUUCCUGCUUCCACGUCAACCUCAGUAGCCAAGGUUUCGUAACUCCUGCCUUUAAACUGAAGAAACUGUAUCAAUGUCUCGUAAUGUAAUAGUUCCAUAGCUGGCAGUAAAGAAAACCAAACUUAAAGAGCCACUUGAGCAGAGGAGAUAGACCAAAUCUGUUGUAUUGGUUGGCAUUCAGGGAAAACUCAAAGUCAAAAGGCACCAUCUCAAGACCAUCCAGAAAAGCUCGUUGGGCCCUUGAUCCAGAAAGCACCCAGUUGGUCUCCUAGAGAGCACUGUAGGGAUUCUGAAAUCAUUACACGUGGUUUUUAACCCAGCCCCAGUUGGAUGCAGAUAUAAGAACCAAGAAUUUGCCCUGUAGGUGUAUGACGAGUUGCUUCUUCAUAAGUUGCGUUGAGACCCAGCAGGCAAAGACACACCUGUUCAAAGCUAAUAUUCUGUUAAACAAUAACCAGGGACUACUCAUGAAGUUCCUCCAGAUGUCUGAAGACUCCCAGGGGCGAAAGGCCCCAACGGAAAGGCCUGGCAGUUGUUCAAAAGCCACACUGGAUUACUACAGCUUCCAGCCGCUCAAAUUGAAACUGCCCAGGUCGAAGAGUUCUAGGAGCAGUGUAGUGACCCUUUAACUACAUGCUACUUUAACCUGCAUCUUCCAAACUCUUUGAAUUUUUUUUUUCUUUUCCAGGACACGAAAAAAAUUCAGAAUAAUAAAAAAAAAGAAUAGCAGUAACUACUUUUUCCUGUGUUACUGCUUGUGCCAGACCCUGUAGAAGUGCAUAAUAUGCUACGUCAACUCCAUCAAUAUUUCUUCAUAACAAUCUGCAAGGAAGUAUUAUUGUUCUUAUUUUACAAAUGAAAAACCUGAGUCUCAGAGAGGUUUGGUAGUUUGCUGAAGUUCACGUAGCUAACAAGUGGCAAAGGUAGGAUGUGAAUUCAGGAUGGAUUGGCAUGAAUACCCACGAUCUUUACUCUCAGUACACAGCUUCAUACUUACAUGCAGGGUUACAAUGUGCUUGGUAAGGCAAGAAAUCUCUACCAACACAGGAUUUUUUUGAGGAUUAACUAAGAAAACAUAAAUAAGCACACAGCCUGUUGCCUGAUACACGUUAGGAACUAAGUAAAUGCUUAUUUUGUUUUAAAAUCAUUACCCUACAUUCUGGAAAAUGUGCCAUGGAAUGGGACGGGCCCACAAUGGUUUUUCUAUAGAGUUUUUAGCGGGUUCUGGGGACAACUAUUAUAUAUUUUAAAAUAGCAACGCUCACAUGCUCCAUAGUAAAUCAGUUGGCCAAGUUAAAAAUAGAUUCUAAACAUAGCAAGAGCAGAAAUUCAAUCUAAGAUACUAAGUCAUGGAAAGCAGUUGACAGUGGUUGCAACAGAGAAAAGGAAGCGCAGGCACACACUGAUUCUACAUGUGGAUAAAAUUCUCCAACCUCCAUUUCAGGUUUGUUCUAUUCUCUAUAGCAGAAAACAUGCACACAUAUAUAUGCAUACAUGCAUAUACAUAUGCAUGCAAAUAAAUAAACUAAGAUGACACAUUCUAUUUAUCUGCAAUAGCACCAUUUACAAACCUAUUAAUUUUGAGAUUUUGGUACUUAUUAGCACGUACUAGAUACACUACAACAAUAUAUAGUUCCUCAACAUUUUUAGGUGUAAGAGAGAGGAUGGUUAAUGUUUAAAAUAUUUGGGGUGCAGAUACACAGAUGGCUAGACUGGUAGAUAACUAGAAAGGAUGGGGACAGAAGCUAUAUACCCUCUGUGCUCAGUCAAUUUACAGUGGCAGCCUUAGAGAGUUGGGUUAAUGCUGCCAUUCUGUCAUUUGAAACCCCGGGAACUGGUAUGCCAGAUAAAACUGCAAUCACUGUGCCAAGGACUCAGGAAAAGGCGUGGAGCUUAGGUUCUCCCUCAGCCUCCUACUUUUAAACUGUUGUUUGGAGCACACAAUUACUUUCUCUCAGUUGCUAGGGUGGGUGCUUCAGCUGUGGGUGUCACUAUUUAGGGAGGAAGCCAUGAAAUGUAUAUCCUUAAAUCACAUAGUCUUGUUCCAUGUACGUCAAGAAGAGAAUGACUGAGGGAUGUCUAUUAUAAACUGGAGUAAUGGCACAUCACACCAAAUAAAACUUUCCAUGGGAUACUAACAUAAAAGCAGAUCCAUUAUAAAUAUAAAAGAAGAAUGAUACAGAGAAGAUCAGC
rnacentral:lncRNA from 1 species